rnacentral:rRNA from 1 species
UCGGUAAUUCCAGCUCCACUAGCGUAUAUUAAAGUUGUUGCAGUUAAAAAGCUCGUAGUUGAACUUCUGUAUGGGGCUAGUUUUGACUUCUGUCUGGCUAGUUCCAUGCAUCCGCUUGUAAGACCUGGUGGGCAUUGAUUUGUCGCCAGGAGGAACAGGCCUUUUACUUUGAAAAAAAUUAGAGUGUUUAAAGCAGGCAAUCGCCCGCAUAUAUUAGCAUGGAAUAAUAGAAUAGGACACUUUUCCAUUUCGUUGGUUAUUGGAAUCGUGUAAUGAUUAAUAGGGACAGUUGUGGGCAUUUGUAUUUAAUUGUCAGAGGUGAAAUUCUUGGAUUUAUUAAAGACAAACUAACGCGAAAGCAUUUGCCAAGGAUGUUUUCAUUAAUCAAGAACGAAAGUUAGGGGAUCAAAGACGAUCAGAUACCGUCCUAGUCUUAACUAUAAACUAUUCCGACUCAAUGUUUGACUGGCACAUAUAACCAGUUGAGCGUUGUAUGAGAAAUCAAAGUCUUUAGGUUCUGGGGGGAGUAUGGUUGCAAAGCUGAAACUUAAAGGAAUUGACGGAAGAGCACAACCAGGAGUGGAUUCUGCGGCUUAAUUUGACUCAACACGGGA